rnacentral:rRNA from 1 species
CGCUGUCACUCCUACGGGAGGCAGCAGUGGGGAAUAUUGCACAAUGGGCGCAAGCCUGAUGCAGCCAUGCCGCGUGUAUGAAGAAGGCCUUCGGGUUGUAAAGUACUUUCAGCAGUGAGGAAGGCGGGUACGUUAAUAGCGUGCAUUAUUUGACGUUACCUACAGAAGAAGCACCGGCUAACUCCGUGCCAGCAGCCGCGGUAAUACGGAGGGUGCGAGCGUUAAUCGGAAUUACUGGGCGUAAAGCGCAUGCAGGUGGUUUGUUAAGUCAGAUGUGAAAGCCCGGGGCUUAACCUCGGAAUUGCAUUUGAAACUGGCAGGCUAGAGUCUUGUAGAGGGGGUAGAAUUUCAGGUGUAGCGGUGAAAUGCGUAGAGAUCUGAAGGAAUACCAGUGGCGAAGGCGGCCCCCUGGACAAAGACUGACGCUCAGAUGCGAAAGCGUGGGGAGCAAACAGGAUUAGAUACCCUGGUAG